rnacentral:lncRNA from 10 species
GGCAUUUGGAGCCCCCUAAGAGUGAACAGCACACACCCGGUGUGGAGCUGACUCCGGUCUGGCCUUCCCUGCUGAGCCCCGAGGCACCUGUCCAUGGUGAAGUCUAAGAAUGCCUAAUAGUGGCAGAAGGGGUGGCUGAGGGUUAAUAAAAGAGGCCCAGGACUACACAGUGCAGAGGAAGAUGGCGAUUUGGGACAGGGGGAGGGGCGCUUGGUCACUGCUUCCUCCCCCCAGGUGCCCACUGCCAUCUCUGCUUCCCCAGACUCUUCGCAGAGCCGGGCAUACAAUUGAUUAAACUAAUGUGCGGAUCAUCAGUGCAGUGCCGUGGGUAGAAAUACAACUUUUUAAGCCAGACAGACCUGGGUUCGAACAGACAGUUCCCCACAGUGAGACCCUGGCUGAGGUCACGGGACCAUCUGUAGCUCUGUUUGGGCAUUUACAGUAAAUGGUAACUUCUGCCUUGCAGGUUAUUGUGAGGAGGAAAUGGAUGUUACAAGCCUGGGCAUUGUGAUGACGGGGCACGCUGCAAGACUGACUAUGUGGCAUCUCUUCAGGCUGGGGCCUUGGGGAGGAUGUUUCCCUAGAACAUCCUUGCCUCCUGCCAGGCCUUCUCCUGGGCAGGGACAACAACCAGACUUUGAAAUUCCUACCCUUGAUGAAGCUCAGAGAGUGCUCACCGGGGCAGUGGCCGGAUGCCCAGCGCGUCGCCUUCCUUGUCAGUCAGUUCGCCCUUCCUAGACGUUGGUCACGGCAGAUCCUUACCGGUCACAGCAGAUCCUUACCGAGCUAGGAUUUGCAAGACAAAUAUGGCUUAUACUUUAGAGGAAUGGGAUUUGAAGAUGAAGAAAUAAAAUGCCAAAAUCACAAACAAUUUAUGAAUGUCAUUUCUUUCUGAUUUCAUGAUAAUUCUCAUUACAAUAAAAAUAAUCCGUGAGAUGAUUCCAUUUCUGGUGAGCGGAAAGUGCCAAGCAACUCUCCCUCUCGAGGAAGGUUGAGGUACAAGGACAAGCUUCUGUACUUGGAUUUAUAGAGAAGUUCUAGUUUUAAAUUCUGGGUCUGCUGUUAACCAACUGUAAAUGUUGGGAAGUCAUUUUCUUCAUCUGUAAAAUGCUUAAAAGGAAUACUUGUCUUACAGGCUUUUUGCACUUUGAAAUCCAGCUAUGCAACUCAUUAUUUCUUUCAACUGUGGCCACAUUCAGGAUCCCACGGUGUACUAAAAUCUCUUUGAAUCAGAAAGCAAAGAAGAAGGAAGAAACAUUGGCGUUUUCCCUGUCCCCAGCAUGGCUGCAGGAUGCAGAGUGAUUGAAAAUGGACAUUUAUUAAGAUGAUUAAUGUG